rnacentral:tRNA from 1 species
GGGCCGGUAGCGCAGCCUGGGAGCGCGCCGCCUUCGCAAGGCGGAGGUCGAGGGUUCGAAUCCCUCUCGGUCCA